rnacentral:rRNA from 1 species
AUGGACGUCCUCACAACCUUGGUGAUCAAAGCCCAAGAGAUGAAUGUUGUUAGCAAGAUGCCGGGAUGCACGCCGAUGCAGAGACUCUCGCUGUACGUAGAUGAUGUUGUUAUGUUCAUAAGGCCAUGGAGAUCGGACCUCUGGUUUUUCCAGGAAGCUCUCAGUAUCUUCGGGGAGGCCUCGGGUCUCAGGGUCAACUUCACUAAGUCAUCAGCAGUUUUAAUCAGAUCGGAUGAGGCCGAUGAGGAGCUGGUACGACAGGCGUUGUCGUGGAAGCUGGAGCAGUUCCCCAUCAAGUACCUGGGGCUGAAACUGGGUAUUAAGCAGCUUACAAGAUAG